UACGGAGGAUGCGAGCGUUAUCCGGAUUUAUUGGGUUUAAAGGGUGCGUAGGCGGGAUGCCAAGUCGGCGGUAAAAUGCGGUGCUCAACGCCGUCGAGCCGUUGAAACUGGCGUUCUUGAGUGGGCGAGAAGUAUGCGGAAUGCGUGGUGUAGCGGUGAAAUGCAUAGAUAUCACGCAGAACUCCGAUUGCGAAGGCAGCAUACCGGCGCCCUACUGACGCUGAGGCACGAAAGCGUGGGUAUCGAACAGG
rnacentral:rRNA from 1 species